AUAAAAAAAAGGAACAGCUAUUGGAAAUUAUUUCUCCUCAAAAUUGUGAAACUGCUUUGCAAACGGUGGUCUCAACUACUAUGGAGAAGCAAACUAACUCUUUCAUCUCCUGAAUGAACUGUGUGAAAUGGAAGGAGGAGCCCAGUGGAAGAAGGAAGUCAGAGGCACGAACAACCUAUAACUUAGGUGCACAGCUCUGGGGUGUCCCCAGUGGUCCGGGUAAAUCAGCAGUGAGUGAGUGUGACCACGAGGGAGAACACAUGAGCCGCAGGACCCUGGAUGACAACAAGCCCGUGUCACGAGACCGAACUGCGCUCUCCACAGCCCUUCUUCCAACAGCAGGGUUCCAGGGCCGAGUGCGGGAAGUGCUGGCACGGGGAGCACCGAGGACUCGGCCAGGGCUGGGCGCCAGUCGACGGAUUCCCAAUAUUGUCUUCCAGUUGCUAGACUACGCUGCUUUCCAGUACAUUAUUUGGAAUGUAAAAACUCAAAUGAUGGCUCCACUUGUGUGGUGUAAGAGUGACUCAGAGUGCCUUGGAAGCCACCUCCAAAGUCUUUGAAGAUGGGACCCUAAACAAACUUCAUCUUUUUGCCCUCGCUGGCCUCAUCACCGGUGCUCUCGGCCCAUUCAGCUACAGCCACGCUGGCCACCCUGCUGAUGCUUGAACGCCCCAGACACAUACCCCGCACAGAGACUUGGCACAUGCUGUUCCCUCUGCCUGCGACACUCUUUCCUGGGUCAUCCACGUGGCUCCCUCAGUCCCUUCCUUCAGACAUAGGAAAGCGAGGUCAUGCGAGAGGAAAGACAGAGCCUCCUAUGAUUGAGGAACGCAGGUGUACGCUCCGCUGGGGCCAACUCGUCCUGCCUGGAGGAAAUGCAUCUGAAAUGUUGUCACCCUCCCCUGGUUGUGAACAGAGCUGUUUAACUGUUGGGGCCGUGGGCGAGGCAGCGCAUGCAGGCAGGCGGCCAUUACACAGGCUUUCCAGAGAGAGCUGGAAAGCUGAUGCCCAAGCCACAGGAAGAGGGACGGCCGCCUGCAGCCAACAGCCUGCCUGGAAAGUCUGUGUAAGGGACACCUGGAGGAAGCAGGGGCUCCAUCGCCUCCUCCGCCGGCUGUAACCCUGUCCUUCUCGCUCAGCCCAUCCGUCGGGGGUGCUCCCGGCUUCCCACCCCAGAGAUGCCGCUCCUGGACGCGCUCCUGGACGCUCACCACAUCCCUCGAGUUGGAAAGCUCUCCGAUUUCUCCCAACAAAUCAGAACUUCUUUUCUUUCAUCUCGUUUGAAAAGCCUUUUGUGAGAUUGCUAGUGACCCAAAUGUAACCUCUCUAUUCCUGUCUGAAGGGAAAAUAUUUCCAGAUUAGAGGGAGCGUUCUGCGGUGCCAAGACCAGGCAUAUAUGAAUACUUGAUUAUGCCUCCGAAACCCGGCCUCCCAAACACGCGCCAGUCACAGUGUCAGAAACGAACCGUAAGCAAGCAAAGAAACUGUGAAUCAAGGGGUUUAUUAUUUUCCCCUAUUAAGUAUUUUGAAACCAAAGUUUCCACAUUUUUAAGGGUUUGAUGUCAUAAAAUUCCCAUGUAUGACAGCAUUUUGAAAAACAGAGUCAUUGUGUGCGGGUGGAAUGUGAGAGGUUUAGUGUACAAGUUAGAAAAUAAAUCCCUAAGCUCGCAAUUUGAGAUGCAUAGACAGGGGGCCACUGAGCUGUAGCCUUUGCUACAAUGGCUUCACGUGAUGUUGGGACUGUCCCGGAAAAAUUCUUCGUCUUCUGAGAAGCCCCAGGACCUCCAGCCAGCUGUUGUUACUCCAAGUGCAAUGGUGAGCGUCAGAGCCCCGCGCGGCCUGGAAGGAGAUGUGAGCAGAGGAAGGUGAAGUUGCCUGAGAAAAUGUCUUUCCUGGAAGAAUACUGGUGCUGUUCUCUGUCCACCUGACAUGACGUCCAUGUCAAAUAUGGAGGACGAAUUUGUUGGCAGACCUUGGGGAUGAAAUGGGCUAGACUUCUAAGAAUAAAUGUACCUGGCCUCUCUAUUAACCAUUUCCAUACAUAUAUAUUAAUAGACUUUAUUUUUUAGAGCAGUUUUAGGUUCACAGCAAAGUUGAGUGGAAUGUACAGAGAUUUCCCAGAACCCCCUGCUACCCCACAUGUCAGCCUCCCUCACUAUCAACAUCCCCCAGCAAAGUGGGAUGUCUGACAUUGAUGAACCUACAUGACACGUCAUUAUCACCCAAAGUCCAUCUUCACAUUGGGGUUCACUCUUGGCGUUGGAACAUACCAUGGAUUUUGACAAAUGGAGAAUGGCGUGUGUCCACCAUCGUAUUGUCACACACAAUAGUUCCACUGCCCUAAAAAUCCUCUGUGCCCCCCAUAUUCAUUCCUCCCACCCCGCUAACCCCUGGCAGCCACUGAACUUUUACUUUCUCCAUAGUUUUGCCUUUUCCAGAAUGUCAUGUAGUUGGAAUCGUACAGCGUGUGGUCUUUCCAGAUUGGUUUCUUUCACUUAGCAGCGCAUUUAAGUUUCCUCCAUGUUUUUCAUGGUUUGAUGGUUCAUUUCUUUUUGGUGAUAAGUAAUAUUCCAUUGUCUAGAUGGAGCCAUUUUCAUAUAUGUAUUUUGGAAGCCAGAUUUUUAAUAAGGUAAUAUAAUUUAUUAAUUAGUAUAAUAAAAUCUAUGAUAAGAUAAAGGCAAUAUUUGACUUAAAUAGAGCAACCUCUAUAUCAACCCUAUUAAUAUGAAGGCUAUUAUCCUUCUGGUUGUAAUAAGUAAACUGAAGCACAGAGAGAAUCUGACUUACACACAGGAAAGAAUAGAAGAGUCUAGAAUCCCAGCCAUUUGCUCUAUCGCAUGUAAAGUCUGAAGUUUAUAUGUGUGGGGAGGGGAGGACUACUUGAGGACACUCAUUUCCAGCUCCUCAGGUUUCCUGUGAAGGAAAUUCCUUAGAGUGACGCUCCUUGCCUCCCCUCUCCCCCGAGCACUUCCUCCUUCACCCAUUCCUCUCUCAAGGGAGGAGGAGCCACUUUCCCAACUGGACAGAUGGGGAGAGACUGGGCGUGCCCAGAGUAUCGCCCCUCUCCUCUCUGGGGUUGUCCUGCCUUAGAGAACACCCUGGUCGGCUGCCCGGCUCUCAACCAGACAGGGGAAAUCAGCAUGUCUGACUCAGGAACACAACAUCCAUGAGGCCACUCGCCCACAGACCUAAGCCACGUCCCACAAACAGCUUUAUAAAGAUAGUAACACUCGCUUACCAAUCUCCAUUUUCUCCACCUCCUGCAUCUGAUUGGUUAUCCUGAUCUAAGUGGGGAAGACAUUCCUUCCCAAAGCUAAUAAUGUCAUCACAAAUAGAUUUUAAAAGGCUGUCAUCACAUUAUCAGCCAGAUUCUUUCUGGUGCCAAGGUGUCUCUACCAUCACCAAGUCUGGUAACUCUGAAGCUAUUUUAGGCCUGAAGGACAAGAUUUAGUGAACUGACAGAGUAACUUAGAUUAAAAGCACUGGACUGGCCUGAAAGUGUAGCCAGCCCACUUUCAGGGAAUCAUUUGACCCCUUAGAGAAAUCUGACUGAAAAACUAAUUUUAGACCAGAAAUUCAACCACCUACAGCCUAUACAACAAUUCUAUCUGGAAAGGUCAACACAGAACCAACUGCAUUGA